UCCCUGAUAGCUCAGUUAGUAAAGCAUCUGUUUGCGAUGCAGGAGACCCCAGUUCGAAUCCUGGGUUGGGAA
rnacentral:tRNA from 1 species